rnacentral:rRNA from 1 species
UGGGGAAUAUUGGACAAUGGGCGAAAGCCUGAUCCAGCGACGCCGCGUGGGUGAUGAAGGCCUUCGGGUCGUAAAGCCCUGUGGGAAGGAAAGAAAACGUUGCGGGCGAAUAGGCCGCGACCUUGACGGUACCUUCUCAGAAAGCACCGGCUAACUCUGUGCCAGCAGCCGCGGUAAGACAGAGGGUGCAAACGUUGCUCGGAAUUACUGGGCGUAAAGCGCGUGUAGGCGGGUCGGAAAGUCGGGCGUGAAAUCCCUGGGCUCAACCCAGGAACUGCACUCGAAACUUCCGGCCUAGAGUGGUGGAGAGGGAAGUGGAAUUCCUGGUGUAGAGGUGAAAUUCGUAGAUAUCAGGAGGAACACCAGUGGCGAAGGCGGCUUCCUGGACACCAACUGACGCUGAGACGCGAAAGCGUGGGGAGCAAACAG